CAUGUCCUUUUGAAUAUAAUUUAAGGUCUAAUCUGCUCAAUGAAAUUUAAAUAGCCGCAGUAUUUUGACUGUGCAAAGGUAGCAUAAUAAUUAGUUUCUUGAUUAGAGGCUGGUAUGAAUGAUUGGACAAGAAAAUUUCUGUCUCUUUUUCAGAUUUUUUGAAUUUUAUUUUUAAGUGAAAAAGCUUAAAUUUUUAUAAAAGACGAGAAGACCCUAUAGAGUUUAAUAUUUUUAGGUUAAUUUAAUAUUAGAAUUUAAUUUAAUUUAAGUUUAUUUGGUUGGGGUGAUUUGAAGAUUUGAUGAAUUCUUUAAAGUUUAAAUUGGUGAUUUCUAAAUUUUAAAUCUAUAUUUUAUAAAUAUAAAAUAAAUUACCUUAGGGAUAACAGCGUAAUUUUUCUUUAUAGUUCUUAUUGAAAGAAAAGUUUGCGACCUCGAUGUUGGAUUAAAAUUAAUUUUUGGUGCAGUAGCUUAAAAAUUAGGUCUGUUCGACCUUUAAAAUUUUACAUGAUCUGAGUUUAAACCGGUGUAAACCAGGUUGGAUUCUAUCUUUAGAAAUAUAAUAUAUUUUAGUACGAAAGGACAGAGUAUAUAUUAAAUUAAUUG
rnacentral:rRNA from 1 species